UGGAGCUGAAUUUUUUGGAGUAGAAGAAGAAACAUCGUCAUCCUUCCCAAGUUUGGAAACACUCUUUCUUGGCAACUUGCCGAGUUUAGAAAAGUGGGAAUUAGGAGGAGAGGCAGAGGAUUCUUCUAAUUCCCCAAUGAAAUCAAUUUCAAUAUUGCCACGCCUUUCUUCCUUACAUAUUGUGGAGUCCUAAACUAAACCAACUUCCAGACUUCCUCCUGCAAAAUGCACCACUGCAGAAUCUUCUCAUCCAUCGUUCUGAGAGCUUUGGCAUCCUUCCUGACGAGUUCAUCUCUCGCAUCCCAAACGUCACAAUUAGUGGAACCUCAUAUGGAGUUGAUCCCUUUUUCAAAGGAAGAAAAAUAGAUACUGAAGUAACAUACGGUUAAUUUCCGGAAGCCAAACUAUUCUGGUAGCUUUAAGCAUAAUUGAAGUUGUCCAACUGAUUGAUGAGGUUCUGCAAAUAGAGCAAAGGUAGCAGAGCAACUAAGUUCUGAGCAAAUUGCAUGAGAUACACCAUUUUGGAAACUUGCAUUGAGGCGUCCAUUUGAAUGAUUAUGUGAUUCUUUGUAAAGUAUAGGUCCAUAAUGUUACAAGUUCCUUCUGUUAUGGUCAGGACUGUUCCUUUAGUGAAGAGAUAUGAACACAAAGUCACCUUGAUAUCAAGAGGAGAGAAAACUUUCACCACAAUCCCCAAGUUCAUUACUUGACCAUAUAAUAAGAGUACCACAGUCAAUUGAGCAUCAUCACGGAUAUAUAUUCAGAUCUUGACCUCCCCACCAACAUUUGAUUGUCAUCUAAUAAGAGAAGACUAUAAUUGCUGGUGGGAUGUCAGGCAGAUAUAAACACUUCUCUUGAUUUCUGGCAUGCCUUUAACUGGUUGGUCAGUUUCUUACAUACAUUAGUAGCUGAAGCUUUUUGUUGCAUGGAAAAGACAGAGUCUCGAUGUGACCCAAAUUCUCAUUUCCGUCUACUGUCAAGUUUCCACAACAUCCCCGGAGAAAUUUGGCCCUGCCUUGACAAAGAUUUAAAUUUAGCAUCACUGGAGAAGCAGAAUAUAAAUCAUAGUGGUCAAAUUUUCUUCAAGUUGAAAACAUGGGGUUUCAGUUUUCCCCCUAUUUAGUAAGAUGCAGGCAGGGCCUGAAACAAUGGUGCACUAGCAAGUAUCAAGGAGAACUGUAGCAUUUUCAUCCAUCUAACCAGUUGAUGCGGAUUACCUAACUAGUUUAUACAUAGAAGAGAGGGAAGAGUGGAUGUGACUCAAACUAAUAUGAUUCAAAUUCAACCAAAGGACAAAUGAUGUUGUGGAGUUCACUGAGGGUUGCGGCUCAAAACAGCUUGGACUUGGUGAAAACUGAUUAAAGUUGAAUCUUGUUGGACUCCAGUGGAAUCAAAUUCGAUCAAGAGAAGAUUCACAACAGAGAGGAAGAACAGCAUGACAUAGGCUACGUCAUGUAUCUGCAAGUUGGAGGAAGGUAAAGGGCUCCACUUCGACCAAUUUACGUGCAAUUCUCUCCAGGCCUUUUAUAUUGGUUGGCAGUGUUGGGGUUGCAUGCUCUGAAUUUUCCUUGAGUCAUGUUUGAUUAAUUCAGGACCUGAUUUACGACAUGUAACAUUACUAAGUUUAACUUAGCUACAAUGUUUUUCAUUAUAGGCUUUUCUUUGUGAUCAAAUAUAGUUUCUUAAAUUCUGUAAUUCGUAACUCUCAAUUGUGGUCAUAAUAUUGAGAACUCCAUU